GUGCCAGCGCCGCGGUAAUACCGGCAGCUCGAGUGAUGUCCAAUAUUAUUGGGCCUAAAGCGUCCGUAGCUGGCCGCGCAAGUCCGUCGGGAAAUCCACCCGCCCAACGGGUGGGCGUCCGGUAGAAACUGGCCGGCUUGGAACCGGAAGGCUCAGAGAGUACGGCCGGGGUAGGAGUGAAAUCCUGUAAUCCCGUCCGGACCACCGAUGGCGAAAGCACUUCGAGAAAACGGAUCCGACAGUGAGGGACGAAAGCUAAGAUCGCGAACCGGAUUAGAUACCCGAGUAGUCC
rnacentral:rRNA from 1 species